ACCACAUUCGGACCGUCGGUCUACCGAGCAAGCUCAGCCGUUCGGUGGAAGAUCUUCCCUUUGUCGU
rnacentral:pre_miRNA from 1 species